GUUUCUUUGACCUUUCGCCCGACUCGCUGAUUUUGAUGCAUCACUCGAUUUUUAGGGAUGAUUCAAAGCCAGAAGUCAAAUGCUGCACAACUUGCUGCACACUUUUCCACCGCCCCCUAUGCCCAACUUUUAAACCAACCGUAAACACGAAGCUUCAGUGCCACCUGGAAUCCCACAUAAAACAUUCCAUUACAUUUAAAGGUGAUAUAUGUAUGUGUGUAGAAAGAAUAUAAGAAUGUAUGUGUAUAUGUCUGUAGACAAUAUUUAUGAAUGUUUGUCUGGUUACUUUUAUAAGUCACUGACUUAUUUUCCUCUAUCUUUUGCCUGC
ensembl:lncRNA